AACGAACGCUGGCGGCAUGCCUAACACAUGCAAGUCGAACGAACCCUUCGGGGUUAGUGGCGCACGGGUGCGUAACGCGUGGGAAUCUGCCCUUUGCUUCGGAAUAACUCAGGGAAACUUGUGCUAAUACCGGAUGAUGUCUUCGGACCAAAGAUUUAUCGGCAAGGGAUGAGCCCGCGUAGGAUUAGGUAGUUGGUGGGGUAAAGGCCUACCAAGCUGACGAUCCUUAGCUGGUCUGAGAGGAUGAUCAGCCACACUGGGACUGAGACACGGCCCAGACUCCUACGGGAGGCAGCAGUGGGGAAUAUUGGACAAUGGGCGCAAGCCUGAUCCAGCAAUGCCGCGUGAGUGAUGAAGGCCCUCGGGUCGUAAAGCUCUUUUACCAGGGAUGAUAAUGACAGUACCUGGAGAAUAAGCUCCGGCUAACUCCGUG
rnacentral:rRNA from 1 species